rnacentral:lncRNA from 1 species
AUUUUGGAUCUGUUGAGUUAAAUCAAAUACAUUAUUAAAAUUGAUUGCACCUGGAUUUUUUUGACCUUGUUUUAAUGUGGCUACUAGAAAACUGUUCAUUACAAAUAUGGCUUGUGGAGGCUGAAAACAUUUUCUUUUCUUUCUUUCUUUUUUUUUUAAGGGCCACAUCUCCAGCAUAUGGAUGUUCUCAGGCAAGGGGCUGAAUCAGAGCUGCAGCUGCACAGCCAAGCCAGAUCCGAGCCACAUCUGCAACAUAUGCCACCCUUUACAGCAACACUAGAUCCUUAACCUACUGAGCAAGGCCAGAGAUCGAACCCGCCACCUCAUGGAUACUAGUCAGGUUAUUAACUGAGCCACAACAGGAACUCCUGAACCACAACAGGAACUCCUGAAAACAUUCUUGAUCUAGGUGAUAGAGACAGAUGUAUAUGUACGUGAGUAUUGAAAUUCAUCAGACUGUGCACUGACCUGCUAUAGAGAAAUAAAAAUCAAUUUAAAAAGUUGAAAAACAGGAGCUCCUGUCGUGGCGCAGUGGUUAACAAAUCCGACUAGGAACCAUGGGGUUGUGGGUUUGAUCCCUGCCCUCACUCAGUGGGUUAACGAUCCGGCGUUGCCGUGAGCUGUGGUGUAGGUUGCAGAUGCGGCUUGGAUCCCGAGUUGCUGUGGCUCUGGCGUAGGCCGGUGGCUACAGCUCCGAUUCGACCCCUAGCCUGGGAACCUCCAUAUGCCAUGGGAGCGGCCCAAGAAAUAGCAAAAAGACAAAAAAAAAAAAAAGUUGAAAAACAAACAAACAAUGGCUUCCUGUUGUAUUUAGAACAAUAUCUAAGCUCCUUUCCUUGGCCAUCAAGAGGCACCUCAUCGGCUAUGAUUCUCCCCGGGACUCAGUGACCAUCCUGCUGUUCGCACGUGCCUGACUUAUGGCGACGUCUCGGCAUUGGUGUUUGCUUUUUCCUCUGCUUAGAAGAUGCUCCCUCCAGAUCUUUACAGUUAUUCAUGUCUCAGCUCAAACAUCUCCUUUUUCCUUGAGCAUCUAUAUCAGCUGGAAUGUUUUUGGUCAAAAGAAACAAGAAACCCAAAUUCGUUUAAACAUUGAAGGACAUGUACUGGCUUGUGGAACCAAACAAGUCCAGGAGCCAAUCUGGCUGCGGUCAGGGCCCUGGAAUAUGAAUUUUUAAUAAGGAUUUCCAUUUUUAAUAAGCACUUGAAGGUGAUUCUAAUGCACUGCUAGGGUUGAAAAGUACUAGUUGCUGUUUUAAACUCACAUGAAUAUAUUUAAAUCCCCUACCACCUUCUUUCCGCCAAUAUAUUUUAAGACGUAUUCUUUUGAGAACAUAAAUUUAUGUAAAAUUAAAUCGACCAAGACAGCAUACACAUCCAUUCCCACAAAGAUGGUAUUUCGGUGAGCACCAAUCAAUGUAACCAUGCCUAACAAUUUAUUAUUAGAAAUACAUCUCACAAUAGGGAAAUACAGCCAAUGUAAAUUUAUUUCUCUUGAACAUCAAUAGGCAUUAGCCAGGAUUUUUUUUUUUUUUUAAUCCCUCUGUCUGCUCCUAUCUCUCUUAUGGGUGUAUGCCUUUUGUUUUAAGUCUCUCUACUCAUAUUUUAGUGGGGUUUGGGGAGGAAGCUAAAGCUUAUGCACAAGUUCAAUCUGCUGUAUGUAAUGGGGAAUCCUCAGAAGCCACUGUUUUCAAGCCCAGUUUUAUGGAUGUAGGUUUCCUCAUGUUAACUCAUCUCAAUCUCAAAAUGGGAGUCAAGGAGACUUGCGACUUGAUUCACAGAGUUUGAAGAUCCCUUUCCAAACAUGGUCUUGGCCUGUGUGGUUGAGUCUGAAGGAUCAGCGUGGGUAUCACUGUCUGACCAUCAUGUGUGGACUCUACACACACAGCUCAAACCCAGAGCCCCAGCCUCGGCCCUUCUGCUGAAACACCAGCGCCCACAAACAGAAGGUUCCUCUUCUCUCACUCUGGAAUAAACAGGAAGGUCUCUUGGGACUGUGGUCUUGG